rfam:Felis catus isolate Cinnamon breed Abyssinian chromosome A1, whole genome shotgun sequence.
GCCUGGGUGGCUCAGUCGGUUAAGCACCUGACUUUGGCUCAGGUCAUGAUGUCACAGUUCGUGGAUUCAAGCCCCACAUCAGGUU